AACUUUCAAAAAUCAAUUUAAUCUAGAUUCCCCGAUGGGGAAUGUAUCAGAGAUUAAACUGAUAAGAACAGAUACUACACUUGAUCUUAGCCAAAAGGCCGAGAAGCGAUAACGAUGACCGUGACCGCUAGCGCCCCACCCCGGGGCGGGCCGGCCCCGGCCCGUGGAGCACCAACAGUCGCCAACGACUUCCCAUUCCGCCGCCGCAGGAUAGCGGACACCUCUAACCCAGUUGUUUGUUGAUCCAGUGCCAAUCCCGCCCCGUUUUCCUUCCUUUCGGCACAACAUGCGACCCGCACUACUUCCCGACGACACACCGCAGCCCCUCUCGCGACACCCUCUCUCACCUCGGCCCCGUUUUGCGGCAAAACACACGUGACGUCGCCACAACGCAACCGCUCACUUUCACUUUCAGACCUAUACAACAACAACCGCGGCCUGGCCCACUCGACAAUGGUGUUCGCGAACCGCGCUCCGCCACUGGAACGCGAUUCUCGAACGCCGCCCUAGCGACGGAGAGAAAGUACACACAACACAAGCGGUACUCACCUUCAAUGCAGUCUUGCUCAACUCGGCCUUUCUUUCCUCUCCUCCGGGGGCACCGGCACUGCAGUCUGAAACAGAAAAGAAAGGAAUGGCUAUCUACUCUUUCCACUAGCCCACUCCAAGAAACAGCUGAAGUGCCAAUCCCGCCCCGUUUUCCUUCCUUUCGGCACAACAUGCGACCCGCACUACUUCCCGACGACACACCGCAGCCCCUCUCGCGACACCCUCUCUCACCUCGGCCCCGUUUUGCGGCAAAACACACGUGACGUCGCCACAACGCAACCGCUCACUUUCACUUUCAGACCUAUACAACAACAACCGCGGCCUGGCCCACUCGACAAUGGUGUUCGCGAACCGCGCUCCGCCACUGGAACGCGAUUCUCGAACGCCGCCCUAGCGACGGAGAGAAAGUACACACAACACAAGCGGUACUCACCUUCAAUGCAGUCUUGCUCAACUCGGCCUUUCUUUCCUCUCCUCCGGGGGCACCGGCACUGCAGUCUGAAACAGAAAAGAAAGGAAUGGCUAUCUACUCUUUCCACUAGCCCACUCCAAGAAACAGCUGAAGUGCCAAUCCCGCCCCGUUUUCCUUCCUUUCGGCACAACAUGCGACCCGCACUACUUCCCGACGACACACCGCAGCCCCUCUCGCGACACCCUCUCUCACCUCGGCCCCGUUUUGCGGCAAAACACACGUGACGUCGCCACAACGCAACCGCUCACUUUCACUUUCAGACCUAUACAACAACAACCGCGGCCUGGCCCACUCGACAAUGGUGUUCGCGAACCGCGCUCCGCCACUGGAACGCGAUUCUCGAACGCCGCCCUAGCGACGGAGAGAAAGUACACACAACACAAGCGGUACUCACCUUCAAUGCAGUCUUGCUCAACUCGGCCUUUCUUUCCUCUCCUCCGGGGGCACCGGCACUGCAGUCUGAAACAGAAAAGAAAGGAAUGGCUAUCUACUCUUUCCACUAGCCCACUCCAAGAAACAGCUGAAGUGCCAAUCCCGCCCCGUUUUCCUUCCUUUCGGCACAACAUGCGACCCGCACUACUUCCCGACGACACACCGCAGCCCCUCUCGCGACACCCUCUCUCACCUCGGCCCCGUUUUGCGGCAAAACACACGUGACGUCGCCACAACGCAACCGCUCACUUUCACUUUCAGACCUAUACAACAACAACCGCGGCCUGGCCCACUCGACAAUGGUGUUCGCGAACCGCGCUCCGCCACUGGAACGCGAUUCUCGAACGCCGCCCUAGCGACGGAGAGAAAGUACACACAACACAAGCGGUACUCACCUUC